UACGGAGGAUGCAAGCGUUAUCCGGAAUGAUUGGGCGUAAAGCGUCCGCAGGUGGCAGUGCAAGUCUGCUGUCAAAGGUCGUGGCUCAACCACGAACAGGCGGUGGAAACUGCACAGCUAGAGUGCGGUGGGGGCAGAGGGAAUUCCUGGUGUAGCGGUGAAAUGCGUAGAGAUCAGGAAGAACACCGGUGGCGAAAGCGCUCUGCUAGGCCGCAACUGACACUCAUGGACGAAAGCUAGGGGAGCGAAUGGG
rnacentral:rRNA from 1 species